UACAGGGGGUGCAAACGUUGCUCGGAAUCAUUGGGCGUAAAGCGCACGUAGGCGGUUCGUUAUGUCGGAUGUGAAAGCCCUUGGCUUAACCGAGGAAGUGCAUCCGAAACUGGCGAGCUAGAGUACGAAAGAGGAUCGCGGAAUUCCCGGUGUAGAGGUGAAAUUCGUAGAUAUCGGGAGGAACACCGGUGGCGAAGGCGGCGAUCUGGGUCGAUACUGACGCUGAGGAGCGAAAGCAUGGGUAGCGAACAGG
rnacentral:rRNA from 1 species